UAGAUCUGCGACAUAGUGAACAGCUGUAGAGAGUUUGUGUUCUUCCUAUAAACUCAGUGCUCAAAAUUUUCAGCUUUGAAAAAUGGCAAAUCAAAUCAUAGGUCACGUUAAUUGUCCCAUCGAUAAUGGUAAUGUUCACGACAUGGCGGCAAACCACGAGGCCGCCUUAAAUUUAUUCACCAAUCAGUGCCCCGUCGGAGCACGUGUGGCGGAAGUGACUGGUAUAAGAGGAAAACCAAAAAAUAAAUGUACCUGGCGAGUUCUCUAUAUACUAUAUGACUUUGAUCCUCAAUUUGGAAACAUCGACCACACACAAAGAUCUCGUGAUUUUUAUAGUAGGAAGCCUAAUAAUACGAGAAUUCUAAUGCAAGCUUGGGAACCUUUUCCCCCCACUGUAGAAAUUGUAUAUUUGAUUCUUCAAUGCAUGUGUGACGUACCGCCAAGUGUUGAAACAAUUAACACAGAUUUCCUUAAUUUAAAGGUGGAGUAGAAUAUCCAAGAAUUAUUGUUAUUUUUUUAUUCCACCUUUAGUGUGAGGGUCAAUCUAGAUACAAUUAGUGUUGAAAAAUAAUAAUAAUAAUAAUAGGUAAAUUAUGGAUAUAAGAAGGAACUACUUAUAUUAGUUAAAGAUAUAUAAUUACAUUUGUCGCAUUAUUAGAUAUACCUACAUCUGGUCAUCAUGCAUCAUCAAACUGCAUAUAGGUAGAUAGGAUCGAAUCUGUCCAGAAUAUCAAAUUCAUAAUGCGCUUGCUUCCUUUGCGUGUUAGAAAUUCUCCGGAACUGUACAAAAGUUAGGAUUAAAUAAUUUAUGUGAUCGUAGAAUUUUUUUUUAAAUUUGUUUCAUACUGUCAGCGUGCAAUCUAGUCUCAGAUAAGGUAAAUUUUUUUAAUGACAAUUAUGGUAAUCUUAAGGCUACUCUUCGUUGCAUUUUGUACCUACAAUUAAUUUUAUGCGUCUGUAUGUAAAGGCUACUUUUUUGCCGUAAAUAAAUUAAUUAUUUUUAA